rnacentral:rRNA from 1 species
UCGAGCGGAUGAGAAGAGCUUGCUCUUCGAUUCAGCGGCGGACGGGUGAGUAAUGCCUAGGAAUCUGCCUGGUAGUGGGGGACAACGUUUCGAAAGGAACGCUAAUACCGCAUACGUCCUACGGGAGAAAGCAGGGGACCUUCGGGCCUUGCGCUAUCAGAUGAGCCUAGGUCGGAUUAGCUAGUUGGUGAGGUAAAGGCUCACCAAGGCGACGAUCCGUAACUGGUCUGAGAGGAUGAUCAGUCACACUGGAACUGAGACACGGUCCAGACUCCUACGGGAGGCAGCAGUGGGGAAUAUUGGACAAUGGGCGAAAGCCUGAUCCAGCCAUGCCGCGUGUGUGAAGAAGGUCUUCGGAUUGUAAAGCACUUUAAGUUGGGAGGAAGGGCAGUAAGUUAAUACCUUGCUGUUUUGACGUUACCGACAGAAUAAGCACCGGCUAACUCUGUGCCAGCAGCCGCGGUAAUACAGAGGGUGCAAGCGUUAAUCGGAAUUACUGGGCGUAAAGCGCGCGUAGGUGGUUCGUUAAGUUGGAUGUGAAAUCCCCGGGCUCAACCUGGGAACUGCAUCCAAAACUGGCGAGCUAGAGUAGGGCAGAGGGUGGUGGAAUUUCCUGUGUAGCGGUGAAAUGCGUAGAUAUAGGAAGGAACACCAGUGGCGAAGGCGACCACCUGGGCUCAUACUGACACUGAGGUGCGAAAGCGUGGGGAGCAAACAGGAUUAGAUA